rnacentral:rRNA from 1 species
GCAAGUCGAGCGGUAACAGAGAGUGCUUGCACUCUGCUGACGAGCGGCGGACGGGUGAGUAACGCGUAGGAAUCUACCUUGUAGUUGGGGAUAGCCAGGAGAAAUCCUGAUUAAUACCGAAUACGGUCUACGGACGAAAGGGGGCUUCGGCUCUCGCUGCAAGAGGAGCCUGCGUUGGAUUAGCUUGUUGGUGAGGUAAAAGCUCACCAAGCCUACGAUCUAUAGCUGGUCUGAGAGGACGACC